UAGAUGCUGCUGCACCCGCUGAGUUUCUCCAGCAUUUUUGUCUACCUAAGAUUAUUAAGGGUUUGGACACGCUAGAGGCAGGAAACAUGUUCCCGAUGUUGGGAGAAUCCCAGAACCAGGGGCCACAGUUUAAGAAUAAGGGGUAGGCAUUUAGAACUGAAACGAGGAAACAUUUUUUCUCCAGAGAUGCUGUCUGACUCGCUGAGUUGUGCACAUAAACUAAUAAUCAAACAUUAUUCUUUAUUAUAUCGAACGCUAUAUAAAAACAAGCGCAAAUUGUACCAUUUGAUUGUAAAAUUCCCUGUGCCCUAACUAUAUUCAUAAACUUCUUCUUGCAUAUGGCGUGCACAGCCUAAAAUUGUAAGACAACUUGUUCUGUUUGGUGUUUAAGAAGGAACUGCAGAUGCUGGAAAAAUCGAAGGUAGACAAAAUGCUGGAGAAACUCAACGUCGCCUAUUCAUUCGCUGCCUCACCCGCUGAGUUUCUCCAGCUUUUUUUUGCCUACCUCCGAUUCUUCCAGCAUCUGCAGUUCUUUUUUCAACAUAUUGCAGUUUAGUUUGGAGAUAUAGCCGCGGAAACAGGCCCUUCGGCCCAGCGAGUCCGCACCGACCAGCGAUCCCCGCACAUUAACACUACCCCACACGCACUGGGGACAAUUUUUCAUUCAUACCAAAGCCAAUUAAUCUGCAAGCCUGCACGUCUUUGGAGCGUGGGGGGAAACCGAAGGUCUCGAAGAAAACCCACGGGGAGAACGUGCAAACUCCGCACAGACAGCACCCGUAGUCGGGAUGGAACUCGGGUCUCCAGCGCUGUGAGGCUGCAACUCUACAGCUGCGACAGCGUGCCGCCCUUAAACAUAGAAACAUAGAAAUUAGGUGCAGGAGUAGAGGCCAUUCGGCCCUUCGAGCCUGCACCGCCAUUCAAUUUGAUCAUGGCUGAUCAUCCAACUCAGUAUCCCGUACCUGCCUUCUCUCCAUACCCCCUGAUCCCCUUAGUCACAAGGGCCACAUCUAACUCCCUCUUAAAUAUAGCCAAUGAACUGUGGCCUCAACUACCCUCUGUGGCAGAGAGUUCCAGAGAUUCACCACUCUCUGUGUGAAAAAAGUUCUUCUCAUCUCGGUUUUAAAGGAUUUCCCCCUUAUCCUUAAGCUGUGGCCCCUUGUCCUGGACUUCCCUAACAUCGGGAACAAUCUUCCUGCAUCUAGCCCGUCCAACCCCUUAAGAAUUUUGUAAGUUUCUAUAAGAUCCCCUCUCAAUCUCCUAAAUUCUAGAGAGUAUAAACCAAGUCUAUCCAGUCUUUCUUCAUAAGACAGUCCUGACAUCCCAGGAAUCAGUCUGGUGAACCGUCUCUGCACUCCCUCUAUGGCAAUAACGUCCUUCCUCAGAUUUGGAGACCAAAACUGUACGCAAUACUCCAGGUGUGGUCUCACCAAGACCCUGGCAUCUGGUAGAUAGAAAAUAGACCAGGACAGCACAGGAUCCGGCCCUUCGGCCCACAAUGUCUGUGCUGGUCAUCAUAUCUAUUGAUUGAUUGAAAGUCCAAUGAUGUUCUACCCUACACACUCGGGACAAUUUACAGAAGCCAAUCCGCCUACAAACCUGCACGUCUUUAUAAUGUCAGAGGAAACCCACGCAGUUACAGAGCGAACGAAUAAACCCCACACAGACGGUGCCUGUGGCCAGGAUUGAACCCUGGUCUCUGGCGCUGUGAGGCAUCAACUCUACCGCUGAGCCACUGUGUUUCUCUCAAUAAUGAAAUUAAAUUCUUACCUGCAGCAGCAUAACAGACCUGUAGAACACAGCACUCAUAGACAACAUGCACUAAACAAAGCAAAUCAUUGGAUUAAUAACCCCAACACCGUUCAAAGUUUUUAGUCGGAACCAAAGAGUGUCCAUAGUUCAAAUUUUAGUUGGUGCUCAAGAGCCUGAUGGUUGUUGGGAAGAAGCUAGUCUUCAACCUGGAGGUGAAGAUUUCAGAUUCCUGCACCUUCUACUGUAGUUGUAAUGUAACACUAGAAUUGUGAUCUUGCUAGCCAACUAAAAGCAGGAAGAUCUAUCUCUAUCUAUUUCCCCCUAUCUCCUCCCUAUCCCCUAUCCCCUCUCCCUUCCACAAAUGAGGCCCCUUGGUUAGGGUAACGUUUGUUUUCAAUGAAGAAUUUCACCCUUGUUUCCUAUCCUUCAGGUCGGGUUGGAAACGUGGCCCUUCAGCCCGCCAAGUCUGUACUAACCAUCAGGCAAAAUACAGAGGGCUGGGGGAACUCAGCGGGUCAGGCAGCAUCUGUGAGGGGAAAAUGGACAGGUGACGUUUUGGGCCGGGACCCUUCCUUGGACUGAUUGUCUAUUUCCCUCCGCAGAUGCUGCCUGACCCGCUGAGUUCCUCCGGCACUUUGUGUUUUGCUCCAGUUUCUUGCAUCCCCUUUAGUUCUCUGCCUUAGGUGGUGGAGCUGGUAGCAACGUUGUCAGAAACCCUGCUCUGAUCUUGACCUUGGGUGCUGUCUAUGUGGAGUUUGCAUGCCAAUUAACCUCGUGACCACGAGGGUUUCCUCCAGUUUCUCCGGCUCCCUCCCACACCCCAAAGACGUGCGGGUUUGUAGGUUAAUCAGCUUCUGUAAAAUAACCCCUUCUUCUUUUGUGUGGCGUGCACAGCCUAAAGUUGUCGCACAACUUGUUCUAUUUGAUCUUCCGUUUGUGCACGUCGAGUUGAUUGCAUUAGUCGAAACGGGGUGGGCCACGUGAUGGUUGCAAUCUUCCACCCCUAAAAUAACCCCUAGUGUGUAGGGAGUGGAUGAGAAAACGUGGAACGGGUGAUCGAUGUAGUGGACUCGAUGGGCCGAAGGGCCUGUUUCCAUGCUGUAUCUCUAAACCACACUAACCAUCAUUCACUCGUUUACUCUCACUUCAUUCACCCUACAUUCCCUUCAACUUCCCCCAGUUUUACCACUUGCCCGUGCUAGGAGCAAUAUACAAUUGCGAUCAGUUUAUUAUUGUCAGGAGUAUUGACGUACGGUGAAAAACUAUCCAGUCAGCAGCAAGACUACACAUGAAUUACCCGUUAGAAUCUGGGAGGAAACGGGAAGAACGUGCAAACGCCACACAAACAGAACCCAAGGUCAGGAUUGAAGCUGUUUCACUGGUGCUACCAGGCAGCAGUUGUCCCACAUUCCCGAUUUACUCACGAAUUCUCCCAAGUUUUCCCCUUGAUUCAAACUCGGAGAAGCCAGCCGUGGGUACCCGGGGCUAUUUUUUUUGACUCGUGGACAUUUUGCAACCUGCUGAACAAACGUCCCGACUUACCUGAUGCCCCGAGUACCUACGGCCGGCAUUACGAGCCGCUACCAUAUAACCAUAUAACAAUUACAGCACGGAAACAGGCCAUCUCGGCCCUACAAGUCCGUGCCGAACAAAUUUUUUUUUCCCCUUAGUCCCACCUGCCUGCACUCAUACCAUAACCCUCCAUUCCCUUCUCAUCCAUAUGCCUAUCCAAUUUAUUUUUAAAUGAUACCAAUGAACCUGCCUCCACCACUUCCACUGGAAGCUCAUUCCACACCGCUACCACUCUCUGAGUAAAGAAGUUCCCCCUCAUGUUACCCCUAAACUUCUGUCCCUUAAUUCUGAAGUCAUGUCCUCUUGUUUGAAUCUUCCCUAUUCUCAAAGGGAAAAGCUUGUCCACAUCAACUCUGUCUAUCCCUCUCAUCAUUUUAAAGACCUCUAUCAGGUCCCCCUUAACCUUCUGCGCUCCAAAGAAUAAAGACCUAACUUAUUCAACCUUUCUCUGUAACUUAGUUGUUGAAACCCAGGCAACAUUCUAGUAAAUCUCCUCUGUACUCUCUCUAUUUUGUUGACAUCUUUCCUAUAAUUGGGCGACCAAAAUUAUACACCAUACUCCAGAUUUGGUCUCACCAAUGUCUUGUACAAUUUUAACAUUACAUCCCAGCUUCUAUACUCAAGAUUCGAAAUAUCUACGGACUCGCUACGGGCAUUCUCCGAGUUCGAAUCAAGGGGAAAACUCGGGAGAAUUCGUGAGUAACUCGGGAAAGUGGGACAAGGGGGCUUAACCGGCAAACUCUGGACAUCGAGUAACAAUAGCAGUUUUAGACUUUAGAGACACGGUGUGGAAACAGGCCCUUCGGCCCAUCAAGUCCACACCGACUGGCAAUCACCCCACACACUAGAAACAUAGAAAUUAGGUGCAGGAGUAGGCCAUUCGGCCCUUCGAGCCUGCACCGCCAUUCAAUAUGAUCAUGGCUGAUCAUCCAACUCAGUAUCCCGUACCUGCCUUCUCUCCAUACCCCCUGAUCGCCUUAGCCACAAGGACCACAUCUAACUCCCUCUUAAAUAUAGCCAAUGAACUGGCCUCAACUACCCUCUGUGGCAGAGAGUUCCAGAGAUUCACCACUCUCUGUGUGAAAAAAGUUCUUCUCAUCUCGCUUUUAAAGGAUUUCCCCCUUUAUCCUUAAGCUGUGACCCCUGGUCCUGGACUUCCCCAACACUAACACUGAUGUACGCAGGGGUGCUUUGUUUAGUUCAGUUUAGAGAUACAGCACAGAAACGGGCCCUUCGGCCCACCGAGUCCGUGCUGACCGGACACUAACACUAUCCCACACAUACUAGGGACAAUUUCAAGUCAAGUCAAGUUUAUUUGUCGCAUACACAUACGAGAUGUGCAGUGAAAUGAAAAGUGGCGAUGGUGCAAAAAAAACACAAACAAACAAACAGAAUGGGACAUAUUUCAUAUUUCAUAUUUGUGGGAGGAAAGAAUAAGGAAAAAAAACAUCGAUUUACACUUUUUACCAAAGCCAAUUAACCUACAAACCUUUACUUCUUUGGAGUGUGGGAGGAAACUGACGAAAACGGGGGAACGCACAAACCCCGUACAGACGACACCCGCGGUCAGGAUCAAACCCGGGGAGCGAUUCUACCGCUGCGCUAACGUGCUAAUGUAACUGGAUAGAUCACAAAUGAUCCUUCUUCUGACUGUGUCCUCAAGGAAAAGGGAGGUAGAGCUUGCCGUCUAUAAAUGCUCUGAAAAAAUCCGAAUGAAAUGAAUGUUUUGUGCAAUUAAAUUAAUUAGUGUACAUUUCAGGCUUUUUUGUAUAUUUUGAUCAUUUACCAAAGUUUCUCCUGCUGCUACGGCUUAAAAUGUCUGUCAUUUUUUUUCCUGGAAAAUAAAUGUGCUGUGAUUACUAUUCCUAAAAA